UACGUAGGGGGCAAGCGUUGUCCGGAUUUAUUGGGCGUAAAGAGCUCGUAGGCGGUCUGUCGCGUCGGAUGUGAAAAUCCAGGGCUCAACCCUGGACCUGCAUUCGAUACGGGCAGACUAGAGUUCGGUAGGGGAGACUGGAAUUCCUGGUGUAGCGGUGAAAUGCGCAGAUAUCAGGAGGAACACCGGUGGCGAAGGCGGGUCUCUGGGCCGAAACUGACGCUGAGGAGCGAAAGCGUGGGGAGCAAACGGG
rnacentral:rRNA from 1 species